UGAAGGCCUGCGAAGGGACGGGGAGAGAAAAUCAAUGGGCCUGUGACAAGUGACCGAUGCCGUUGUUCCCUUUUAGAGCAACAGUAGUGAAGAGACAGGUUUCACGAGCUAUGACUUGAUGGACACUUUGAAACAGACAAACAGAAAUGGUUUGAUUCUUUUGUCGUCUCUUCACAGAGCUUUAUGAGGAUGUGAGCCGGUGUGGUUCGAUACGAGAAGAGAUCAGAAACUUUGCUGGGCUUUUAUAGCGGACUGUAAAAUGAGGUGAAGUUUCAUCUAUGUUGCUAUGUGUUCUCGGAUGGAAACCUACUGGGGACCCCGGAGACCAGACGCAGUGGUCUGAGCACUCGGAAGGCCCUCAGCGCCUUCAUGUCAAAGCCCCCGCCCUUCUCCGGGCGCACGCCCAUCACCAAGUUGAUGGUGUCGAUGGCAAAGGUGAAGAGGCUGCAGAAUGAAGAACCGAUGUACACAGUUUACAUUGAGUUUGUGUUGGGCUUGCCUUAAAAAUAAUGACAAAUACUUUUUCUGUAAGUGUUACUGUACAACAAAUGUUUUUUUAAUUAAAUGUAAAGACAAAG